GACGAACGCUGGCGGCGUGCUUAACACAUGCAAGUCGAACGGAAAGGCCCUGCUUUUGUGGGGUGCUCGAGUGGCGAACGGGUGAGUAACACGUGAGUAACCUGCCCUUGACUUUGGGAUAACUUCAGGAAACUGGGGCUAAUACCGGAUAGGAGCUCCUGCUGCAUGGUGGGGGUUGGAAAGUUUCGGCGGUUGGGGAUGGACUCGCGGCUUAUCAGCUUGUUGGUGGGGUAGUGGCUUACCAAGGCUUUGACGGGUAGCCGGCCUGAGAGGGUGACCGGCCACAUUGGGACUGAGAUACGGCCCAGACUCCUACGGGAGGCAGAAGUGGGGAAUAUUGCACAAUGGGCGGAAGCCUGAUGCAGCAACGCCGCGUGCGGGAUGACGGCCUUCGGGUUGUAAACCGCUUUCGCCUGUGACGAAGCGUGAGUGACGGUAAUGGGUAAAGAAGCACCGGCUAACUAAGUG
rnacentral:rRNA from 1 species